rnacentral:rRNA from 1 species
GGUUAAGCGACUAAGCGUACACGGUGGAUGCCCUGGCAGUCAGAGGCGAUGAAGGACGUGCUAAUCUGCGAUAAGCGCCGGUAAGGUGAUAUGAACCGUUAUAACCGGCGAUUUCCGAAUGGGGAAACCCAGUGUGAUUCGUCACACUAUCAUUAACUGAAUCCAUAGGUUAAUGAGGCGAACCGGGGGAACUGAAACAUCUAAGUACCCCGAGGAAAAGAAAUCAACCGAGAUUCCCCCAGUAGCGGCGAGCGAACGGGGAGGAGCCCAGAGCCUGAAUCAGCAUGUGUGUUAGUGGAAGCGUCUGGAAAGGCGCGCGAUACAGGGUGACAGCCCCGUACACAAAAGCGCAUGUGCUGUGAGCUCGAUGAGUAGGGCGGGACACGUGGUAUCCUGUCUGAAUAUGGGGGGACCAUCCUCCAAGGCUAAAUACUCCUGACUGACCGAUAGUGAACCAGUACCGUGAGGGAAAGGCGAAAAGAACCCCGGCGAGGGGAGUGAAAAAGAACCUGAAACCGUGUACGUACAAGCAGUGGGAGCACAGGUUUACCUGUGUGACUGCGUACCUUUUGUAUAAUGGGUCAGCGACUUAUAUUCUGUAGCAAGGUUAACCGAAUAGGGGAGCCGUAGGGAAACCGAGUCUUAACCGGGCGUUAAGUUGCAGGGUAUAGACCCGAAACCCGGUGAUCUAGCCAUGGGCAGGUUGAAGGUUGGGUAACACUAACUGGAGGACCGAACCGACUAAUGUUGAAAAAUUAGCGGAUGACCUGUGGCU